rnacentral:rRNA from 1 species
ACGAACGCUGGCGGCGUGCCUAAUACAUGCAAGUUGAGCGCUGAAGGUUGGUACUUGUACCAACUGGAUGAGCAGCGAACGGGUGAGUAACGCGUGGGGAAUCUGCCUUUGAGCGGGGGACAACAUUUGGAAACGAAUGCUAAUACCGCAUAAAAACUUUAAACACUAGUUUUAAGUUUGAAAGAUGCAAUUGCAUCACUCAAAGAUGAUCCCGCGUUGUAUUAGCUAGUUGGUGAGGUAAAGGCUCACCAAGGCGAUGAUACAUAGCCGACCUGAGAGGGUGAUCGGCCACAUUGGGACUGAGACACGGCCCAAACUCCUACGGGAGGCAGCAGUAGGGAAUCUUCGGCAAUGGACGAAAGUCUGACCGAGCAACGCCGCGUGAGUGAAGAAGGUUUUCGGAUCGUAAAACUCUGUUGGUAGAGAAGAACGUUGGUGAGAGUGGAAAGCUCAUCAAGUGACGGUAACUACCCAGAAAGGGACGGCUAACUACGUG